ACUUUGCCUCCCCUCGCCCCCUCCGCCGCCUGCGAUGCGGUUCAGCCCUUGCCCGUGAGGACGGGACUACUUUCUGCCACAGAGCUGCGGCGGCGUCCGAGCGGCGGCACAAAGGCUCCGGUCCCGGUGCCGGUGCCGAUCCUGGCCCCGGCCCCGUCCCCGUCCCCGUCCCGCUCCUGGAACGGGCCGCAACGCCGCAGCAUCGCCCGGGGGCCGGGCGGCAGGGUGGCAAAAUGAAGUUACGGUCCUUCCUUCCCCCUGUGUGCUAACUGAGGAGCAAUAAAUCCCGGCCUUUCCCAGAGCAGAGGGAGCAGGCGUCCCUUAUCAGCAGGAAUUGCUGGCCGGCUGAUAUGAGAAAAUCUACUUCAUGAUUUCAACGCGUCUAAACGUUUUCAUUAAGUCUAGACGUCUACAUCACGUUCUUCUUUCCUCACAGAAUGUGACAGCUGACUCCCUGCAGGUUCUGGAAGGUCCCAGUUAUGUCACUGUCAUGGUUUAGGAAUGGUGCUCCCACCAAGACUCUCCAAAUCAUACAACAUCACUCAUUCCCCCAAACCCCCACUCCCCUUUGCAGCAGGAUGGAGAGGAGAAUUGAAGGCACAAAAGGCAAAGGUCAUGGGUCAGGAUAAGAGCAAUUCACUGGAAACAGUGAUGAGAUAAGAAAAUAAACAGUAACAGCACCAGAAUAAUGAAUGACAAAGAGUACAAAAAAGAAACAUCAUUGCUCACUGUGGGAACCCUGACAACAAACAGAACCCGGGCCUCCCCACUUCUCUAUUCAACUUUUACUGGAUUGGAAGGAACCCCUUCUUCUCAGAAGAGACUCAUUUCCCCUCAGCCCUAGUGCUGACAGAAGGUGUAUAGAAUAACCUCCAUGUCCUUGCCAUGACCUCUCCUGGCUACUACAAAAAUUAACCCUCCUGGGUGGAAGCAGGACAGUCACCUUGCAGCCUUCUUUUUUCCAGCUGAACAAUCCCAGUUCUCCUAGCCUUUCCUCACAGCAGAGGUGCUCCAUCCCUUUAAUCAUCAUGUUGGCCUUCUCUGGACUCAUUCCAACAGGCUGAUGUCUUUCCUGUGCUGGGACCCCUUCCCAUGGGCCACUUCUGGAUUGGUCUGUCCUUCAGGUGUGUCACUGCACCCUCAGCUUGGUGUCAUCUGCAAACCUGCUGGGAAUGCACAUCUGUGUUAUUAAUGAAGAUAUUUAAAGAAUGAUGGUCCAAUAUGGACUCCUGAGGGACACUGCUUGUCACUGAGGUCCAUCAGGACUCUGAGCCAUUGAUCAGUACAUUCAAAAAUGGCCUUUUUUGAACCCUUUUGCCCAUCAGUGCUUAGGAUUCAAGACCAAGUCUAUCUCAAUUCAUACACGUAGCAUUAAGUCCAUAGCAGAGGCUUUUACGAAGUAAAAUAGGAGGCAGAAUUACCACACACAAAAAAGCCUCCAACAGGCAUGACUAUGUUCCUUUAUUUGAGCUUAAAGUCAAAGUAAGUGGAGGGGGAAUGUCUUUUAUUUUAGUAAGAAGCUCCCUUGUUGAUCACAGCUACUUUCAUUUACCUUAGAAAGAGAAACCUUAGUUUGCUGGCUCAAAUCCAUCUGAGGCUGAGAAACCCUUACCUCUGAACUUGGAUGGUGGCUCAGUGACACAAGAGCUUUCAAGGGAUUAUUUUUAAACUUGGGUAACCUCCCUGGUUUAGUUGGUGGCCCAGCUUCACAAGCAGUUGUGUCAGCCCCCAGGAAAGCAAGGGACAGCAGCUGGAACUCAUGAAACCAGCAGCGUCUGCCAGUCACUCUGCUUUUGAACUGUGCCCUGACUUUGAGUGGAGUCAAUGGGAUCUUCUGUAGAACCAGAACCAAAGUCCAUAAUGAGCAAAAGCUGUUAGAAGAAGAUGGAUGCUCAGCAAAUGAAUUUGUGGCUGCCCACAUCACAGAAGCCACUAUCAUAAUUAGCUCUCUCACUGAAUGUUUCAACAAGAAUUAAUGGGCAUAGCAUGCUGAAAUGCUGGUCCCUCUGAAGGCAAAUGGUGAAGUUCUCACUGAUUUCAAAAGGGCCAGUGUUUCAUACUGAAACUCAAGCUCAAGUCCUCGUGCCCCCAGCAGGAAAGUCUGCAGCACAGGAGCUUGGGAAAUGGGAUGUAAUGUUACCAUCCAAUGAUGCCUGUUACAACCAUUUCACUGAAUAAAAUAGGACAGUCUGACUUGUGACAUCAUCAUCAUCAUCUUGCCACGUUGCUUAGGUCAUACAGUUUAUAAAGAAAAAUGUUUCAUUCAGCUAUUCCUCAAAACAAGAUCAGUUCUAAUAAAUGUAAUAGAAAUGCCUGACACAGUUUAUCCUAUUCUGAGAGAGCAAUGGGUUCAUCAUGGCUUUUCUUCUUCAAUGAAUAAAGGACAAGAUCAUAGAAUAAUAAAG